UGCCGCCAGAGUAAAGCUUUCUACCCUUUACUCCCUGCAAAGAAACAAGAGUGCUUAUCCCAGCUAAGCUCCAGGGAACCAUAAAUCCAUGGCUAACCUUGACAAAUACACUGAAACAUUCAAGAUGGGUAGCAACAGUACCAGCACUGCUGAGAUUUACUGUAAUGUCACUAAUGUGAAAUUUCAAUACUCCCUCUAUGCAACCACCUAUAUCCUCAUAUUCAUUCCUGGUCUUCUGGCUAACAGUGCAGCCUUGUGGGUUCUGUGCCGCUUCAUCAGCAAGAAAAAUAAAGCCAUCAUUUUCAUGAUCAACCUCUCUGUGGCUGACCUUGCUCAUGUAUUAUCUUUACCCCUCCGGAUUUACUAUUACAUCAGCCACCACUGGCCUUUCCAGAGAGCCCUUUGCCUGCUCUGCUUCUACCUGAAGUAUCUCAACAUG
rnacentral:sRNA from 1 species